UACGUAUGGAGCAAGCGUUAUCCGGAUUUACUGGGUGUAAAGGGAGCGUAGACGGUUUGACAAGUCUGAUGUGAAAUUCCAGGGCUUAACCCUGGACCUGCAUUGGAAACUGUCGGACUAGAGUGUCGGAGAGGUGAGUGGAAUUCCUAGUGUAGCGGUGAAAUGCGUAGAUAUUAGGAGGAACACCAGUGGCGAAGGCGGCUCACUGGACGAUAACUGACGUUGAGGCUCGAAAGCGUGGGGAGCAAACAGG
rnacentral:rRNA from 1 species